CAUCAACCUGGCGGUGCUGCCUGGAAGAACAGGAGAAAGUGGGUUGUUAGUGUUCCAGAGUGGCCUCUGUCGGGGUCAUUCUAUCACACAACUUCAGAAAUGAAAGGGUCCUUAGAACCCUGAUUGGUUUAGGUCCUUGGUUUGUAAGCAACAGAAAGCAGUUAGCAUUAGGAAAUUCAAGGGCAGAACAUGAAGGAAUCACCAGCUUGUGAUAUAGCAGGGGAGCCUGGGAAAGACCAGCACAACUAUGGGGUCACAAUAGGAAUGACCUGGUGUGAUGCGAGCCAUCCAUGUCUUCAGCCUUGUGUCACUGUUUCCAUAAAGUCCCCGGGAGACCACCUGGCUGGUCACACCUAGAUCCUGCACCUAGAUCCUGCACUGACCACCAGGAGCAGAAGGGAGAGGAGAGGACUGAACCUGGCCUGUGGCUUUCACACAGCAUAGUAUUGCUCAGGAGUUUGUCAUCCCGCCCAAAUGAUGCCUCUGAGGGAGACGGGGGCAGGGGGACAAGGAAUCUCUUAUGCAUUUCUCAGUGAAGUGGCUUCUCCAACUGAUGAGUCUCUGGAGAAAGGGCAGUUGUGGGCCAUCAGAGUCCUGCUUACAGCAUCCAAAGG
ensembl:lncRNA